CCUGGUUGCCAUGGUGGAGAGGUCAUACCCGUUCCCAUCCCGAACACGGAAGUCAAGCUCUCCUACGCCGAUGAUACUGCUCCUUCGCGGGAAAGUAGGUAGUAGCCAGGCU
rnacentral:rRNA from 1 species